UAUUGUGUAUGUGGAAAAAGUUUUAGAUCUUUGAGUUCAUCUCAUACAAAAUGGGAGCAAAACCAAAAGUGUUGCGUUUAUAUUUUUGAGUGUAGAUCUAAUUCUUGUGCUAUGGUUUCAAGCAGUGUACCUGCCUCUGAAACGCUGGAAUUUUAUACGCAGGUGUAUCAAAGAAAUUGUUUCCGGUAAGAUACUUAAGAAAUACAGUAUAAUCUUUAGAGUUACCUGUUGAGCUUUUUGCUCAAACUAUUUCUACAAUAGAAUGUAUUUCCAAGAUCACA